CAAGGAAAGAACAGAGCCGCAGUGUCUGAGGAUUCUCAGUAAGGCCUCAGCGAAAGUAAGAAUGUUCACAUGAAGAUAUAAACAGAAAAAGAAGCCACUUCAUAUGUAAAGAAAAAGGAAGAUGCUUCCUCAAGAUCUCAAAAGCUCGGAUUCACACUCCUCAUCCUCACAGAGAAGGCGAGGUGAGCAACAGAGAAGUGAAGUGUGAAACACUGAAAAUGUUAAGGACUUCACCUCUCCCAGAAAAUGAAUGCGCACAUCAAUGAAAUCAUUGCAACUGAUGUGUCCAAGGCAUGAAGUAACAAUGGCAGAAUUUAACGCAUCAGACAAGUGAGGAAGAAAAAGAUUGUGUGACAUUGAAGAUCUUGUGAAAACCCUGAAACUAAACUUCUCUGGUUAUCAGUUGGUCGAAAUAAACUGAGGCUGCACAAAAGUAAAUUCGAAGGACAACAGAUUAUGGUCAAAAUCCAAUUGGUGAUAAUCAUCCAAUCUGCAACAAUCAGACGCCAGCAUGAUACACUGGAGUCCUCAGAGAGGUUAAUCCAGCUGCUAUGUCUGCAUUUAAAAGACUCACUGGAAUAAAAUAUAUUCUGAACCUCAAACUGAUGAAAGUUUAGACAACUAAGGAGAAUAACCUGGCAAAGUGAGGAAAAUUGAACACCAGCCUCCCAGCUGCACACAGCCAAUCAGCAAACCCGUCACAUGUGAUCAGUAAUGAGCCCAUGACUUUGGGACUGAGAAGGGACUAGAAGAGCUGCAGAGAAAGAG